rnacentral:rRNA from 1 species
GACGAACGCUGGCGGCGUGCUUAACACAUGCAAGUCGAACGGAAAGGCCCUGCUUUUGUGGGGUGCUCGAGUGGCGAACGGGUGAGUAACACGUGAGUAACCUGCCCUUGACUUUGGGAUAACUUCAGGAAACUGGGGCUAAUACCGGAUAGGAGCUCCUGCUGCAUGGUGGGGGUUGGAAAGUUUCGGCGGUUGGGGAUGGACUCGCGGCUUAUCAGCUUGUUGGUGGGGUAGUGGAUUACCAAGGCUUUGACGGGUAGCCGGCCUGAGAGGGUGACCGGCCACAUUGGGACUGAGAGACGGCCCAGACUCCUACGGGAGGCAGCAGUGGGGAAUAUUGCACAAUGGGCGGAAGCCUGAGGCAGCAACGCCGCGUGCGGGAUGACGGCCUUCGGGUUGUAAACCGCUUUCGCCUGUGACGAAGCGUGAGUGACGGUAAUGGGUAAAGAAGCACCGGCUAACUACGUG